rnacentral:rRNA from 1 species
CCUACGGGAGGCAGCAGUGGGGAAUAUUGCACAAUGGGGGAAACCCUGAUGCAGCGAAGCCGCGUGAGUGAAGAAGUAUUUCGGUACGUAAAGCUCUAUCAGCAGGGAAGAAAAUGACGGUACCUGACUAAGAAGCCCCGGCUAACUACGUGCCAGCAGCCGCGGUAAUACGUAGGGGGCAAGCGUUAUCCGGAUUUACUGGGUGUAAAGGGAGCGUAGACGGCAGCGCAAGUCUGGAGUGAAAUCCCAUGGCUUAACCAUGGAACUGCUUUGGAAACUGUGCAGCUAGAGUGCAGGAGAGGUAAGCGGAAUUCCUAGUGUAGCGGUGAAAUGCGUAGAUAUUAGGAGGAACACCAGUGGCGAAGGCGGCUUACUGGACUGUAACUGACGUUGAGGCUCGAAAGCGUGGGGAGCAAACAGGAUUAGAUACCCGAGUAGUC